GUGCCAGCAACCGCGGUAAUACCGGCAGCCCGAGUGAUGGCCGAUCUUAUUGGGCCUAAAGCGUCCGUAGCUGGCUGCGCAAGUCCGUCGGGAAAUCCACUCGCUCAACGAGUGGGCGUCCGACGGAAACUGCACAGCUUGGGACCGGGAGGCCUGAGGGGUACGAUCGGGGUAGGAGUGAAAUCCUGUAAUCCCGCUCGGACCGCCGAUGGGGAAACCACCUCAGGAGAACGGAUCCGACAGUGAGGGACGAAAGCCAGGGUCUCGAACCGGAUUAGAAACCCCGGUAGUCC
rnacentral:rRNA from 1 species